UAUGGCUUUGGGUAAGGCCUGUGUAUGGCUUUGGGUAAUGCCUGUAUAUGGCUUUGGGUAAGGCCUGUAUAUGGCUUUGGGUAAUGCCUGUAUAUGGCUUUGGGUAAGGCCUGUAUAUGGCUUUGGAUAAGGCCUGUGUAUAUGGCUUUGAGUAAGUCUUAUAUACGGCUUUGAGUAAGGCCUGUGUAUAUGGCUUUGAGUAAGGCCUGUGUAUAUGGCUUUGGGUAAGGCCUGUGUAUAUGGCUUUGGAUAAGGCCUGUGUAUAUGGCUUUGAGUAAGUCUUAUAUACGGCUUUGAGUAAGGCCUGUGUAUAUGGCUUUGGGUAAGGCCUGUGUAUAUGGCUUUGGGUAAGGCCUGUAUAUGGAUUUGGGUAUGGCCUGUGUAUACGGCUUUGAGUAAGGCCUGUGUAUAUGGCUUUGGGUAUGGCCUGUGUAUACGGCUUUGAGUAAGGCCUGUGUAUAUGGCUUUGAGUAAGGCCUGUGUAUAUGGCUUUGGAUAAGGCCUGUGUAUACGGCUUUGAGUAAGUCUUAUAUACGGCUUUGGGUAAGGCCUGUAUAUGGCUUUGGGUAAGGCCUGUAUAUGGCUUUGGGUAAGGCCUGUAUAUGGCUUUGGGUAAGGCCUGUGUAUAUGGCUUUGGAUAAGGACUGUGUAUAUGGCUUUGAGUAAGUAUUUUAUACGGCUUUGGGUAAGGCCUGUGUAUAUGGCUUUGGAUAAGGCCUGUGUAUAUGGCUUUGAGUAAGUAUUUUAUACGGCUUUGGGUAAGGCCUGUGUAUAUGGCUUUGGAUAAGGCCUGUGUAUAUGGCUUUGAGUAAGUCUUAUAUACAGCUUUGGGUAAGGCCUGUGUAUAUGGCUUUGAGUAAGUCUUAUAUACGGCUUUGGGUAAGGCCUGUAUAUGGCUUUGGGUAAGGCCUGUAUAUGGCUUUGGGUAAGGCCUGUGUAUAUGGCUUUGAGUAAGUCUUAUAUACGGCUUUGGGUAAGGCCUGUAUAUGGCUUUGGGUAAGGCCUGUGUAUAUGGCUUUGAGUAAGUCUUAUAUACGGCUUUGGGUAAGGCCUGUGUAUAUGGCUUUGGGUAAGGCCUGUAUAUGGCUUUGGGUAAGGCCUGUGUAUAUGGCUUUGAGUAAGUCUUAUAUACGGCUUUGGGUAAGGCCUGUAUAUGGCUUUGGGUAAGGCCUGUAUAUGGCUUUGGGUAAGGCCUGUAUAUGGCUUUGGGUAAGGCCUGUAUAUGGCUUUGGGUAAGGCCUGUAUAUGGCUUUGGGUAAGGCCUGUGUAUAUGGCUUUGGGUAAGGCCUGUGUAUAUGGCUUUGGAUAAGGCCUGUGUAUAUGGCUUUGGGUAAGGCCUGUGUAUAUGGCUUUGGGUAAGGCCUGUGUAUAUGGCUUUGGGUAAGGCCUGUAUAUGGCUUUGGGUAAGGCCUGUG
ensembl:lncRNA